UACGUAGGGCGCAAGCGUUGUCCGGAAUCAUUGGGCGUAAAGGGCGCGCAGGUGGUUCUGUAUGUCUGCCGUGAAAGCAUACAGCUCAACUGUAUUGUGUCGGUAGAAACUGCAGGACUUGAGGCUGGGAGGGGCUGGUGGAAUUCCCUGUGUAGCGGUGAAAUGCGUAGAGAUGGGGGAGAACACUCGUGGCGAAGGCGGCCAGCUAGACCAGUUCUGACACUGAGGCGCGACAGCGUGGGGAGCAAACAGG
rnacentral:rRNA from 1 species